rnacentral:lncRNA from 1 species
UACACAUCAAUAUCAGUGUGAUAGAGGGAAGGGAAAAAUAGAUCUGAUAAUCUUUCACUGGUGUAUUCUUCAUUUGGUAAAUUAUUCUCUAUUAAGAUAUUAUUUUCAAUAUUAUUGACUUUUGGUAAGUUUUAAUCCUCUGUUGUUUCCAUUUCACUUGAAUUAAAGAUGUCUUUGCUUGGACUAUUAAAAAUUCCACCAACUAAUCUCUGACAAAUAUUUAUGGAGUUAGGUCAAUGCUCCUUAACAAGCCCUGGCCUCAUUGAUGCUCAGAGAAAUAAGGAUAAUAUAAUACCGUGAUUAAGCCUUACAUAGACACAGAUGACUUAUAAUUAUGAAAAACUAUAAUUAUAGUGAGUCACUACAAAUUUAAAAACUCAGAGGGUGGCUCUGAGGUUUUGCUUGAGAAGCGCCCCCUGUACUACUGCUGUUUGCUAAUUGGGCUUGUGGAAAGCUCAGAGUAAUGAUUAGGCAUGCCAAGAUUCAUCUGC